AUUGAACGCUGGCGGCAGGCCUAACACAUGCAAGUCGAGCGGAUGACGGGAGCUUGCUCCUUGAUUCAGCGGCGGACGGGUGAGUAAUGCCUAGGAAUCUGCCUGGUAGUGGGGGACAACGUUUCGAAAGGAACGCUAAUACCGCAUACGUCCUACGGGAGAAAGCAGGGGACCUUCGGGCCUUGCGCUAUCAGAUGAGCCUAGGUCGGAUUAGCUAGUUGGUGGGGUAAUGGCUCACCAAGGCGACGAUCCGUAACUGGUCUGAGAGGAUGAUCAGUCAACAUGGAACUGAGACACGGUCCAGACUCCUACGGGAGGCAGCAGUGGGGAAUAUUGGAAAAUGGGCGAAAGCCUGAUCCAGCCAUGCCGCGUGUGUGAAGAAGGUCUUCGGAUUGUAAAGCACUUUAAGUUGGGAGGAAGGGCAGUAAGUUAAUACCUUGCUGUUUUGACGUUACCGACAGAAUAAGCACCGGCUAACUCUGUGCCAGCAGCCGCAGUAACAC
rnacentral:rRNA from 1 species